rnacentral:rRNA from 1 species
AUACGGAGGGUGCAAGCGUUGUUCGGAAUUAUUGGGCGUAAAGCGCGUGUAGGCGGUUUCUUAAGUCUGAUGUGAAAGCCCCGGGCUCAACCUGGGAAGUGCAUUGGAAACUGGGGGACUUGAGUACGGGAGAGGGUAGUGGAAUUCCUAGUGUAGGAGUGAAAUCCGUAGAUAUUAGGAGGAACACCGGUGGCGAAGGCGGCUACCUGGACCGAUACUGACGCUGAGACGCGAAAGCGUGGGGAGCAAACAGGAUUGGAUACCCUGGUAGUCCACGCCGUAAACGAUGAGUACUAGGUGUUGCGGGUAUUGACCCCUGCAGUGCCGCAGCUAACGCAUUAAGUACUCCGCCUGGGAAGUACGGCCGCAAGGCUAAA